rnacentral:rRNA from 1 species
GAUGAACGCUGGCGACGUGCCUAAUACAUGCAAGUCGAGCGAACAUAUGAGGAGCUUGCUCCUCUGACGUUAGCGGCGGACGGGUGAGUAACACGUGGAUAACCUACCUAUAAGACUGGGAUAACUUCGGGAAACCGGAGCUAAUACCGGAUAAUAUAUUGAACCGCAUGGUUCAAUAGUGAAAGACGGUUUUGCUGUCACUUAUAGAUGGAUCCGCGCCGCAUUAGCUAGUUGGUAAGGUAACGGCUUACCAAGGCAACGAUGCGUAGCCGACCUGAGAGGGUGAUCGGCCACACUGGAACUGAGACACGGUCCAGACUCCUACGGGAGGCAGCAGUAGGGAAUCUUCCGCAAUGGGCGAAAGCCUGACGGAGCAACGCCGCGUGAGUGAUGAAGGUCUUCGGAUCGUAAAACUCUGUUAUUAGGGAAGAACAAAUGUGUAAGUAACUAUGCACGUCUUGACGGUACCUAAUCAGAAAGCCACGGCUAACUACGUG